UACAUGGGGUGCAAGCGUUGCUCGGAAUUAUUGGGCGUAAAGCGCACGUAGGCGGUUCGUUAAGUCGGAUGUGAAAGCCCUCGGCUCAACUGAGGAAGUGCACCCGAAACUGGCGAGCUCGAGUACGAAAGAGGAUCGCGGAAUUCCCGGUGUAGAGGUGAAAUUCGUAGAUAUCGGGAGGAACACCGGUGGCGAAGGCGGCGAUCUGGGUCGAUACUGACGCUGAGGAGCGAAAGCGUGGGGAGCGAACAGG
rnacentral:rRNA from 1 species